UCAUUCUGGAGCCAGGGGCAGCGAGGACAUCUAAGAACUGUGACUUUGGAGGCUACUUAGGCUAGGGCUUUGAGUGCACCCUGAACUGAAGUGCAGUGUACAGCAGUUUCAAAUGAGGUGUGGGGUUUGGGGGUGGCCUCCCUCCUAGGCAGGAUGUGCUGGGCCCCCUGAAUGACCUCACUAUGGUACUGAAUGAGUGGUCAGUGCUGGGCACGGGGACCUGGCAGAGACAACUUGAAGGACGUAUUACCCUGGCUCACGAUUUCAGAGGGUUGCAGUUAUAGUGAAGUUCAUGGCAGUGGGAGUGUGGCUGAGCCCCUCACAUGGUAAGGCACCAGGAAGCAGAGAAGGAGCAUCCAAAGGCAGGUACAUCCCUCAAACCAGGAGGAUAGACUUCACAUUCUACAGGUUCCACAGCCUUCUAAGCAGUGCCAGCAGCUGGGGACCACAGUGAGGUCCAAGUGAGGCCGUGGAGGACAGCUCACAUCUGAAGCACAAUACUUGAAGCACAUGCAUAGGCUGUGCAGGUUCUAGCAUGGUGGAUAGAUCCUGCCUGUCCUGCUUGGGUGAGUUGCCUGGCCUGACCUAGGACAGCCUUGUCCCUGUGGCUGCUUUGCCUCUGGCUGCCUGUCCACUCAGGAGUAAUACUGCAGUUGUGUUGAAUGCUGGGCUUCCGGAAGCUUGCAACUCAUGGGCUCCUGCUGACCCAACCUGGCAGCUUUUUGAACUGACAGAGGACUUCUAAGGAUUCCAGGCAGCUUCCUUUUGGGUUGCAGUCAUGUGACUGGCUUUUACCCUCUCAAACCUGAUGGGGAAGUGUCCACAGAGGCUUCUGGGCCUACUCGCAUACAUUCUAGCCUUCAGAAGGAGGCCAGACAGGUUCUAAGGCAGGCCCAGUGGGUAAAGAAAGAGUAAGUCCAAAGCCAAGGCCCUGCCUUGUGAGUCACCCCAUUGCCUGCUGUUGGGCUCUUCCAGUGUUGGGGGCUUGAACAGAUCCACAGUUGCCAUGGUGUGUCUCCGCAGUUCAGAAAGGCAGCACUGCACAGUAAAAUUGCUAGUGAGGGGAGCCAACUGGCACUGGGCCCAUCCACAGGGACCUCAGGGCCAUUCUUAGUGAUGCAGGCACACUCGUUCACACUCUCACAGGGAUCCGCGUAGACCCCAGUGUAGACACUUGAAAACCCCUGACUGCUUUUCAGUGUGUUUUGUAAAGAGUAAAAAGCUGUGAAAAAUAAACCAAUUAAGGGGGAAAAAGGUGUGGCUCUU
rnacentral:lncRNA from 1 species